UGAGUAUGUCGCCAAGGAACUGCCCUGAU
rnacentral:piRNA from 1 species